GAAAGUUUCAUUGUGCAAAUCUAACUUCAUGGCCUCGCUGGCUGUAUUCCUUAUAUGAUGCUGAGACCUUAAUGGACAGAAUCAAGAAACAGCUACGUGAAUGGGAUGAAAAUCUAAAAGAUGAUUCUCUUCCUUCAAAUCCAAUAGAGUAGCUGCUUGUCUUCCUAUUGAUGAUGUAUUGAGAAUUCAGCUCCUUAAAAUUGGCAGUGCUAUCCAGCGACUUCGCUGUGAAUUAGACAUUAUGAAUAAAUGUACUUCCCUUUGCUGUAAACAAUGUCAAGAAACAGAAAUAACAACCAAAAAUGAAAUAUUCAGUUUAUCCUUAUGUGGGCCGAUGGCAGCUUAUGUGAAUCCUCAUGGAUAUGUGCAUGAGACACUUACUGUGUAUAAGGCUUGCAACUUGAAUCUGAUAGGCCGGCCUUCUACAGAACACAGCUGGUUUCCUGGGUAUGCCUGGACUGUUGCCCAGUGUAAGAUCUGUGCAAGCCAUAUUGGAUGGAAGUUUACGGCCACCAAAAAAGACAUGUCACCUCAAAAAUUUUGGGGCUUAACGCGAUCUGCUCUGUUGCCCACGAUCCCAGACACUGAAGAUGAAAUAAGUCCAGACAAAGUAAUACUUUGCUUGUAAACAGAUGUGAUAGAGAUAAAGUUAUCUAACAAAUUGGUUAUAUUCUAAGAUCUGCUUUGGAAAUUAUUGCCUCUGAUACAUACCUAAGUAAACAUAACAUUAAUACCUAAGUAAACAUAACAUUACUUGGAGGGUUGCAGUUUCUAAGUGAAACUGUAUUUGAAACUUUUAAGUAUACUUUAGGAAACAAGCAUGAACGGCAGUCUAGAAUACCAGAAACAUCUACUUGGGUAGCUUGGUGCCAUUAUCCUGUGGAAUCUGAUAUGUCUGGUAGCAUGUCAUUGAUGGGACAUGAAGACAUCUUUGGAAAUGAUGAGAUUAUUUCCUG
rnacentral:lncRNA from 1 species